UUUAAGGAACAAAUAUAAAUUGGGCUUUGAUCUUAUGAUGGAGUAUCUAUGAUUAUGGGCUUUUAAAAAUAAUGUAAGCAUCUCCAUUUUAGUUUAAGUUGAUUAUUAAUUUAGGUGAGUAAUUUAUACGAUUAUAUCUAAUUUUGGGUUGUUAUGGACUUAUGGUUAUGUUAAUCAUGGAGCAAAAAGCCAAAAUCAAGCUAUUAUAUGAUGUAUUUGGGAUUACUUAAUUAGUGAUGGAGCUCAUGGACGUUGAUAACUGGAGUCCAAUUAAGAUGAUUAAUCUUAAGCGAUCGAGUUUUUCAUAGGUUGAAACAUGGAAAAGGAGCAAGAGAAAGAAUGGACAGAAGCACAGACUAUACGUAGUACUGAGUGUUGAUCUUCUCGAAACUGCCAAGAAACAACUUCAAUUUCUUGCUGUUGUGGAUCGUAAUAGAUAUUUCAUUUUUGUAUGAAAGUCCUGCUUUGGAAUGGGCUAUCUUUUGGAAUGGAUCCAAUGAACAUUGUGAACAAUAUGAUGCAUAAUUUUUAUCUAUAUGAUGCAUACUUUUUUUAAGACGAACUUUGUGAACAAUUUUAUUGCCUAAAUUUGUUGUGAUAUAUAUAA